rnacentral:rRNA from 1 species
GACGAACGCUGGCGGCGUGCCUAAUACAUGCAAGUUGAGCGCUGAAGGUUGGUACUUGUACCAACUGGAUGAGCAGCGAACGGGUGAGUAACGCGUGGGGAAUCUGCCUUUGAGCGGGGGACAACAAUUGGAAACGAAUGCUAAUACCGCAUAAAAACUUUAAACACAAGUUUUAAGUUUGAAAGAUGCAAUUGCAUCACUCAAAGAUGAUCCCGCGUUGUAUUAGCUAGUUGGUGAGGUAAAGGCUCACCAAGGCGAUGAUACAUAGCCGACCUGAGAGGGUGAUCGGCCACAUUGGGACUGAGACACGGCCCAAACUCCUACGGGAGGCAGCAGUAGGGAAUCUUCGGCAAUGGACGAAAGUCUGACCGAGCAACGCCGCGUGAGUGAAGAAGGGUUUCGGAUCGUAAAACUCUGUUGGUAGAGAAGAACGUUGGUGAGAGUGGAAAGCUCAUCAAGUGACGGUAACUACCCAGAAAGGGACGGCUAACUACGUG